rnacentral:rRNA from 1 species
AACGAACGCUGGCGGCAUGCCUAACACAUGCAAGUCGAACGAGAUCUUCGGGUCUAGUGGCGCACGGGUGCGUAACGCGUGGGAAUCUGCCCUUUGGCUCGGAAUAACAGUUGGAAACGACUGCUAAUACCGGAUGAUGACGAAAGUCCAAAGAUUUAUCGCCAGAGGAUGAGCCCGCGUAGGAUUAGCUAGUUGGUGUGGUAAAGGCGCACCAAGGCGACGAUCCUUAGCUGGUCUGAGAGGAUGAUCAGCCACACUGGGACUGAGACACGGCCCAGACUCCUACGGGAGGCAGCAGUGGGGAAUAUUGGACAAUGGGCGAAAGCCUGAUCCAGCAAUGCCGCGUGAGUGAUGAAGGCCUUAGGGUUGUAAAGCUCUUUUACCCGGGAUGAUAAUGACAGUACCGGGAGAAUAAGUGGUUGCUAACUCUGUGCCAGCCGCCGCAGUAA